rnacentral:tRNA from 1 species
AAAAAGAUAAGCUAAAAUUUAAGCUAUUGGGCCCAUAACCCAAUUAUGAUUAUUUAUCUCUUUUUA